rnacentral:miRNA from 1 species
GCUCCUUACAGACCAACUAGGUUUGUUCUGGUAUAAGCUUCCAUGUGUCUGCACACUUCUUCAGAUACAUAUACACACAAAAGCUUAUACCAAAACAAACUUAGUUGGUCUAUAAGGUGC